rnacentral:rRNA from 1 species
CCUACGGGGGGCAGCAGUGGGGAAUAUUGCACAAUGGGGGAAACCUUGUUGAGGCGCGGCGGGGGGAAGGAAAAAGGUCUUCGGAUCGAAAAUUCUUUUAGCCAGGGAGGAGGGAAGGGACGGAACCUGACAAAGAAGCCCCGGCUAACUACGUGCCAGCAGCCGCGGUAAUACGUAGGGGGCAAGCGUUAUCCGGAAUCACUGGGUGUAAAGGGUGCGUAGGCGGUAGGGCAAGUCAGAUGUGAAAGCCCGGAGCUCAACUCCGGGAUUGCAUUUGAAACUGUCUUACUAGAGUGCAGGAGAGGAGAGUGGAAUUCCCAGUGUAGCGGUGAAAUGCGUAGAUAUUGGGAGGAACACCAGUUGCGAAGGCGGCUCUCUGGACUGUAACUGACGCUGAGGCACGAAAGCGUGGGGAGCGAACAGGAUUAGAUACCCCGGUAGUC